AAUGAACGCUGGCGGCGUGCCUAACACAUGCAAGUCGAGCGAGAAAGUCCCCUUCGGGGGGCGAGUAAAGCGGCGCACGGGUGAGUAACGCGUGGGUAACCUGCCCUUGAGUGGGGGAUAACCAGCCGAAAGGCUGACUAAUCCCGCAUACGACCGGCAGACACAAGUCUGUCGGGGAAAGAUGGCCUCUGCUUGCAAGCUAUCGCUCUUGGAUGGGCCCGCGUUGGAUUAGCUAGUUGGUGGGGUAACGGCCUACCAAGGCUGCGAUCCAUAGCUGGUUUGAGAGGACGACCAGCCACACUGGAACUGAGACACGGUCCAGACUCCUACGGGAGGCAGCAGUGAGGAAUAUUGCGCAAUGGGGGAAACCCUGACGCAGCGACGCCGUGUGAGCGAUGAAGGCCUUCGGGUCGUAAAGCUCUGUCAGAGGGAAAGAAAGGGUACGGACGGAAGUAAUACCCGCCGACAUUGACGGUACCCGUCGGAGGAAGCACCGGCUAACUCCGUGCCAGC
rnacentral:rRNA from 1 species